GUUNCCUUGNNUCCNGAUGACGCUGGCGGCGUGCUUAACACAUGCAAGUCGAGCGAGGGAGCACCUUCGGGUGUGAACUAGCGGCGGACGGGUGAGUAACACGUGGGCAACCUGCCUUACAGAGGGGGAUAGCCUUCCGAAAGGAAGAUUAAUACCGCAUAUUAUGAUUUUUCUGCAUGGGAAAGUCAUGAAAGGAGCAAUCCGCUGUAAGAUGGGCCCGCGGCGCAUUAGCUAGUUGGUGAGGUAAGGGCUCACCAAGGCGACGAUGCGUAGCCGACCUGAGAGGGUGAUCGGCCACAUUGGGACUGAGACACGGCCCAGACUCCUACGGGAGGCAGCAGUGGGGAAUAUUGCACAAUGGGGGAAACCCUGAUGCAGCAACGCCGCGUGAGUGAUGACGGCCUUCGGGUUGUAAAGCUCUGUCUUCAGGGACGAUAAUGACGGUACCUGAGGAGGAAGCCACGGCUAACUACGUGCCCAGCAGCCGCGGUAAUACGUAGGUGGCGAGCGUUAUCCGGAUUUACUGGGCGUAAAGGAUGCGUAGGUGGAAUUUUAAGUGGGAUGUGAAAUACCCGGGCUCAACCUGGGAACUGCAUUCCAAACUGGAAUUCUAGAGUGCAGGAGAGGAAAGCGGAAUUUCCUAGUGUAGCGGUGAAAUGCGUAGAGAUUAGGAAGAACACCAGUGGCGAAAGCGGCUUUCUGGACUGUACUGACACUGAGGCAUGAAGCGUGGGGAGCAAACAGGAUUAGAUACCCUGGUAGUCACGCCGUAAACGAUGGGUACUAGUGUAGGGGUUUGAUACCUCUGUGCCGCCGUAAACACAAUAGUACCCGCCUGGGGAGUANNUCGCAGAUUAAACUCAAAGGAAUUGACGGGGCCCGCCACAGUAGCCGNNCAUGUGGGUUUAUUUCGAGCAACGCNNGAACNACUAGACUUGACAAUGUCUG
rnacentral:rRNA from 1 species